ACCCCACACACACACACACACACACACACACAGGCCGCACCGCACCUCGCAGAGAUUUCAAACCAGGAACAGCAAGAGCUCAGGGGGAAGCUGGCCCGACUGGGGGAGGGGGAGGUGGGGUGUUCAAAUCCAGGAGUCACCCAGAGACUUUGUCCAUAUGGGGGGUCAGCUCAUCUUUCACACUGACUGGGUACUGGCACUGAGGGUCAUGGUACAGGCACUGGCGGUAAUGGUACAGGUGCUGGGGGCAACAGUACAGGUACUGAGGGUAAUGGUACAGGCAGUGGGGAAACAGUACAGGUACUGGGGACAACGGUACAGACACUGAUGUUAAUGAUACAGGCACUGUCGGUAAUAGUACAGGCACUGGAGAAACUGUACAGGCACUGGGGGCAACAGUACAGGCACUGAGGAAACUGUACAGGCACUGGGGGCAAAAGUACAGGCACUGAUGGCAACAUUACAGGUAGUGGGGAAACAGUACAGGCAUUGGAGAAACAGUCCUGGCCCCAGGGGGGAAAGUACAGGCACUGGGAAAAACAAUACAGGCACUGGGGAAAACAGUACAGGCACUGGGGAAAACAGUACGGUGCUGGGGGCAACAGUACAGGUGCUGAGGAUAAUGGUACAGGCACUGGGGCAUCAGUACAGGCGCUGGGGGUAAUGGUACAGGCACUGGGGCAUCAGUACAGGCGCUGGGG